rnacentral:rRNA from 1 species
UACAGAGGGGGCAAGCGUUGUCCGGACUGACUGGGCGUAAAGCGCACGCAGGCGGUCACGGGCGUCGGUGCUGAAAGUGCGCCGCUUAACGGCGCAAUGCGUAUCGAUACGCCGUGACUGGAGCAAUGCAGAGGCCAGUGGAAUUGCCGGUGUAGUGGUGAAAUGCGUAGAUAUCUGGAGGAACACCGGUGGCGAAGGCGGCAUCCUGGACCAACACUGACGCUGAGGAGCGAAAGCCAGGGGAGCAAACGGG